rnacentral:rRNA from 1 species
AAGCUUGUAAACUUAGUGGCGGACGGGUGAGUAACACGUGAGCAACCUGCCUAUCAGAGGGGGAUAACGAUUGGAAACGACUGCUAAUACCGCAUGACACAUCGGAGUCGCAUGGCUCUGAUGUCAAAGAUUUAUCGCUGAAAGAUGGCCUCGCGUCUGAUUAGCUAGUUGGUGAGGUAACGGCCCACCAAGGCGACGAUCAGUAGCCGGACUGAGAGGUUGAACGGCCACAUUGGGACUGAGAUACGGCCCAGACUCC